GGAGAGGUGCGAGAGUGGUCGAAUCGGGCUCCCUGCUAAGGAGUUGACCGAAGCAAUUUGGUCCAAGGGUUCGAAUCCCUUCCUCUCCG
rnacentral:tRNA from 1 species